rnacentral:rRNA from 1 species
AUUGAACGCUGGCGGCAGGCCUAACACAUGCAAGUCGCACGAGUGGCGGACGGGUGAGUAAUGUCUGGGAAACUGCCUGAUGGAGGGGGAUAACUACUGGAAACGGUAGCUAAUACCGCAUCCCAUCGGAUGUGCCCCGAUGGGAUUAGCUAGUAGGUGGGGUAACGGCUCACCUAGGCGACGAUCCCUAGCUGGUCUGAGAGGAUGACCAGACAAACGGGAAAUGAGACACGGGCCAGACUCCUACGGGAGGCAGCAGGGGGGAAUAUUGCACAAUGGGCGAAAGGCGGAGGCAGCCAUGCCGCGGGUAUGAAGAAGGCAUUCGGGUUGUAAAGUACGUUCAGCGGGGAGGCGUUACCAGCAGAAGAAGCACCGGCUAACUACGUGCCAGAAGCCGCGGUAAUAC